AGAUUGAACGCUGGCGGCAUGCCUAACACAUGCAAGUCGAACGGGAGUAGCAAUACUCUAGUGGCGGACGGGUGAGGAAUACGUAGGAAUUUGCCCUUAAGUGGGGGAUAACCCGGGGAAACCCGGAUUAAUACCGCAUGACCUCGAAAGAGCAAAGUGGGGGAUCGCAAGACCUCACGCUUUUGGAGAAGCCUACGUCGGAUUAGCUAGUUGGUGAGGUAAUGGCUCACCAAGGCGACGAUCCGUAACUGGUCUGAGAGGAUGAUCAGUCACACCGGAACUGAGACACGGUCCGGACUCCUACGGGAGCAGCAGUGGGGAAUAUUGGACAAGUGGGCGCAAGCCUGAUCCAGCAAUGCCGCGUGUGUAGAAGGAAGGCCGUUCGGGUUAGUAAAGUCGUACGUUUUAAGGUUAGGAAAGAAAAAAC
rnacentral:rRNA from 1 species